UACGUAGGUCCCGAGCGUUGUCCGGAAUUACUGGGUGUAAAGGGAGCGUAGGCGGGGAUGCAAGUUGGGUGUCAAAACUACCGGCUCAACUGGUAGUCGCACUCAAAACUGCAGCUCUUGAGUGAAGUAGAGGCAGGCGGAAUUCCUAGUGUAGCGGUGAAAUGCGUAGAUAUUAGGAGGAACACCAGUGGCGAAGGCGGCCUGCUGGGCUUUUACUGACGCUGAGGCUCGAGAGUGUGGGGAGCAAACAGG
rnacentral:rRNA from 1 species